AAACUUAAAUGAAUUGACGGGACCGCACAAGCAGCGGAGCGUGUGGUUUAAUUCGUUGCUACACGAAGAACCUUACCUGGGUUUGACAUAUAGGUUGUAGGGAACUGAAAAGGGACCGACCUUCGGGAGCCUAUACAGGUGUUGCAUGGCUGUCGUCAGCUCGUGUCGUGAGAUGUUCGGUUAAGUCCGCUAACGAGCGCAACCCUCGUCGUAUGUUAUAUGUGUCAUACGAGACUGCCGGUAAAAGCCGGAGGAAGGUGAGGAUGAUGUCAAGUCAGCAUGACCUUUAUAUCCAGGGCUACACACACGCUACAAUGGUCUGUACAAUGGGUAGCCAAGCCGCGAGGCGGAGCCAAUCCUGAAAGCAGGCCUCAGUUCAGAUUGCAGUCUGCAACUCGACUGCAUGAAGCCGGAGUUGCUAGUAACCGCAGGUCAGCAAUACUGCGGUGAAUACGUUCCCGGGUCUU
rnacentral:rRNA from 1 species